UAUUUCAAGAUCUACACGCAUCUAAAAGUAAAAACAAAAGAAACACAAUCAGCAAAAUCUUACAGUGUGAAAAAACAGAUAUUAGUAGCGUGUAUUGUUAACGAUUAAUGGAGUUGCAAAUGAACAAAACAGAAAUACUGAGUAAAUCAAGUAGGAUCUAAUCGUGUGGCCUGCACGGACCUCAUCAAGAACAG